AUGUAAUGUAAAUAUCGGCAAAGCACGUGGGUAGAUAGAUACUCGUCAGACGAAAUCUACAGUACACGAAACUUCAGGAUUUAGCUCUCUGGUUUUAUUUUAAAUUAAAGACCAAUAUCGUAAUAAGAACUUUUUUCUUUAAUGUAGUUUGGGGUAAACAUGUCUUCUCCACGCGUAAGGCGUAGAGGUAUACAAAGAUUAUAUUCAGCUGAAGAUGAAGUUCUGGAUAAAGUUGUUCAAGAGAUGCAGUCGGAUAAUUUGGCCACGCUUAGGAUGACAAGAGCCAAACUUUGCUUUUUGUGAAUUGCAAAACUGGUGAAUACUAGAAUUCUGGGUAGCUGCAUACCGAUGCAGAUUCCUUUCCUGAAUCCCAGCUCUUGAACAUAUGAGUCUAAGUAUUGAUUAAAAUAAUUUUUCCAAACAAUUGUUUUCCUAAUAAAGACUGAAGGUUGGUC